CUUCUUCCUUCCUCGGAUGACUUUGGAACUCUGCAUAUACAAAAGACCUGGACAUUUGCUUUUGAAAAGUCACACAACAGGAAGAAAUGGCAGGAGAAGAGGCCGAAUGCUAGCAAACAAAUGCUCUGACCAAAUACCCUGUAAACAAAUAACACAAGUACCCUGAAACAAGGCUCAGAAUAAAAGCAGUGGACCACUGACUGAAACACAGUGUGGACUGUCGGUUUGAGCAUCCCAUGGUGGUACCUGACCCUGACCUUGACGCGUUCUCACGCCCGGCCAGGAAGAACACCAC